rnacentral:tRNA from 1 species
GGCGACGUAGCCAAGUGGUAAGGCAGAGGCCUGCAAAGCCUUUAUUCCCUAGUUCGAAUCUAGGUGUCGCCUCCA